rnacentral:lncRNA from 1 species
CGAAGCCAUGGGAAGGAGGGGAAGGAAGAGAGGAAGGAGGGCCGGGGCUUACUUUCGACUUCGGUGAGGUUUCCGGCGAGAAAUCGCGGCGAGCACAGGUCGAGGGGCCGCAGCUUCAAACGGGAAAAUCGGAGAAAAACUCCGACGAUCGUCGGUGACCGAAGGAUCUACACUUAGAGGAGAAGAGGGGGUUCUUAUAGAGCUCGUCCUAGGGUCUUUUAAUGGCCCUAGGACUCCGAUUUUUGAUCGGAGACGGGGAAGAGGAAGACUCC